rnacentral:misc_RNA from 1 species
UAGCAAUUGCGUCAAUAGCAAUACGGUUUUUCACUGGACUGAUGAAACUAGAAGGUAUUAUAAUUGAUCCAACCCAUUGCGAACUGUCGUCAGUUCUCUUCUAUUCUUCCAAUUUCCUCAUGGGAUACUUAAUCACCUUAGCUGCCAACAAACAGUGUCAUCAAUUACCUGGGAAAUUCUGUAUACCGAUUCUAAUGGAACAAAUAUAGAACAUUCCAAUGUUCAGAGAUUUCCAGAUGCUGGAGGAGCCAGAAACCAACAAACCUGCAUUUUUCAUUGAGACGCUGCAUCGAUAUUCAAAUAAAACUGACAUGUAGCUUCGAUGUUGCUUGGUUCCAUUAUCCAGCCCCAAAACUUGCAAAUGUCUGAAGAC